UACGUAGGGGGCAAGCGUUGUCCGGAUUUAUUGGGCGUAAAGAGCGUGUAGGCGGUUCGGUAGGUCCGUUGUGAAAACUCGAGGCUCAACCUCGAGACGCCGAUGGAAACCCCCGAACUUGAGUCCGGAAGAGGAGAGUGGAAUUCCCGGUGUAGCGGUGAAAUGCGCAGAUAUCGGGAAGAACACCCGUGGCUAAGGCGGCUCUCUAGUACGGUACUGACGCUGAGACGCGAAAGCGUGGGGAGCGAACAGG
rnacentral:rRNA from 1 species